rnacentral:rRNA from 1 species
UAAGGAAUAUUGCGCAAUGGGCGAAAGCCUGACCCAGCAACGCCGCGUGAAGGAUGAAGUAUUUCGGUAUGUAAACUUCGAAAGAAUAGGAAGAAUAAAUGACGGUACUAUUUAUAAGGUCCGGCUAACUACGUGCCAGCAGCCGCGGUAAUACGUAGGGACCAAGCGUUGUUCGGAUUUACUGGGCGUAAAGGGCGCGUAGGCGGCAAUUCAAGUCAUCUGUGAAAUCUCCGGGCUUAACUCGGAACGGUCAGAUGAUACUGCUUUGCUAGAGUGCAGAAGGGGCAAUCGGAAUUCUUGGUGUAGCGGUGAAAUGCGUAGAUAUCAAGAGGAACACCUGAGGUGAAGACGGGUUGCUGGGCUGACACUGACGCUGAGGCGCGAAAGCCAGGGGAGCAAACGGGAUU